AUGGACAUUGGAGAAAGGACUGCCCCAACUGGGGUCAGAACCAGGACGGACUGAACUUUGAACAGCAGCAGCAGCAAUGGUCGCAAACGGACUGAAAAGGAGGAGGGCAGGACCCCAGGGCAUGCUUCAGGCCAUGGUUUACCCAAGACACCAGAACAGGAAAGUGAUGAGCACAAACACACACAUCUACAUACACUGACUCAGAAUGAAGAGAAACACAUACACUGAUUGCUUCAGUGAAAAAUCACACACACACACAUUGAAAUGCUGAUUCACUGAGAAGUGAUCCACACACAUGUAGCCGGAUGGGCUACUCGCCUUUCUUUUCUCUCUCUCGCUCGCUCGCUCUUACUGCAAAACUAGGUCAAUUGGGAACCCACCUGCAUAUUGAUUGCAGGCUGGCAUCAGGUAUAAAGCUGAGCUGGUGCUUCUCUGAACUAUUCCUCCCAUGCAUUCAGCGCAAAGCAGCAGUAAAUGCUGGCACUCUGCGACGGACUGAUCAGCAAGAGUAGAUCAUAUGACAGCCACAGGUAUGCUCUCGCUUAACCUCAGAUUCCCUCAGAGUACCUGAAUUUGUGUUAAUAGUUUUUGCGGCCUGUUGUAGCGCGGCAGUUUAUUUUAUUCCGGCGUUGCGGAGAGAGGUGCUCGUGUGAUCCCCACCAGUGAGAGUAUAGCGCCUCCGGUCCUGGGGGUUUGAUUGCUGCAUUCAUCUCUCCGUGGCAAAUCGCCCCAACCUAAAUCGGAAGAGUGAAACGCCUGCUUAGCCAUUGUUGUGAGGGCUCCUCCUCGGUGGAGCCUGCUGUCUUGUCUUGUCUUGUUUGGUUUUAUUAAGUAGGCCUACCAUUUCCUGGUUCGCCUGGUUUUAUUUUAUUUUAUUUCUGAACUGUGGCGUGUGCCCACGCUUCUGUGAUCGGGCUGAAGCAAUCCUUUGCCCGAGUGUCGUGCCGGGAAUUUUAAAUUGCCUCCGUUGCUGGUCUUAGCCUGUGGGGAGCCAGACCAGCUGGCGAUUGAGGCUGGGACGACUACUACCAGUACGAGUGGACCCGUGGGGCAUAAGCCUUCCAUUGUGGUGUGUGUGCGUGUGUGUGUGUGUGUGUGUGGUUUCUUUUAUUAAAGUGUGUUUUAGUUUUUUUUAUUAUCUGUAGCGAGCCAGACACUCAGUGUCCCUUUUAUUCUGUUAACAUAUUUCUGUGUUUUAUUUCAGUGGACGAAGGACGUGCCAGUGGCCCUGGGACCUCAGGUGGUGAGUCGUUUUCACACUUUCUUUUGUACAGCACCGGGUGGGCUGCAGUGAUUUUCGUUUUGUGUGAUUUUCUUUUGGGUCCACGGCUGCUGGUAAGUCCAAGUUCCAUGAUUGUUUUGUUUUCAUUUUAGGACACUGUCAACAAUGACGCUACAUCUUGGUUUCUAAAUAUUUUAUUUAUUUUUACUAUAAAUAAAACUGUUUUAAUAUUGGA